rnacentral:rRNA from 1 species
UACGUAGGGGGCAAGCGUUGUCCGGAAUCAUUGGGCGUAAAGCGCGCGUAGGCGGUCCGAUAAGUCUGCUGUGAAAGUCGGGGGCUCAACCCUCGGAUGCCGGUGGAUACUGUCGGGCUUGAGUGCGGAAGAGGCGAGUGGAAUUCCUGGUGUAGCGGUGAAAUGCGCAGAUAUCAGGAGGAACACCAAUGGCGAAGGCAGCUCGCUGGGACGGUACUGACGCUGAGACGCGAAAGCGUGGGGAGCAAACAGG